rnacentral:tRNA from 1 species
GUUUAUGUAGCUUAAUAGCAAAGCAAAGCACUGAAAAUGCUUAGAUGAAUAAUUUAUUCCAUAAACA